rnacentral:rRNA from 1 species
UACGUAGGGCGCAAGCGUUGUCCGGAAUUAUUGGGCGUAAAGCGCACGUAGGCGGCUUAGCAAGUCGGAAGUGAAAUCCCUCGGCUCAACCAAGGAAGUGCUUUCGAAACUGCUGAGCUUGAGUACUUAAGAGGAUCGCGGAAUUCCCGGUGUAGAGGUGAAAUUCGUAGAUAUCGGGAGGAACACCAGUGGCGAAGGCGGCGAUCCUGGACGAUACUGACGCUGAGGAGCGAAAGCGUGGGGAGCAAACAGG